rnacentral:rRNA from 1 species
UACGUAGGGGGCUAGCGUUGUCCGGAUUUAUUGGGCGUAAAGAGCGUGUAGGCGGCCAGGUAGGUCUGCUGUGAAAACUCGAGGCUUAACCUCGAGAUGUCGGCGGAAACCAUCUGGCUAGAGUCCGGAAGAGGAGAGUGGAAUUCCUGGUGUAGCGGUGAAAUGCGCAGAUAUCGGGAAGAACACCCAUGGCGAAGGCAGCUCUCUGGGACGGUACUGACGCUGAGACGCGAAAGCGUGGGGAGCGAACAGG